rnacentral:rRNA from 1 species
AUUGAACGCUGGCGGCAUGCCUUACACAUGCAAGUCGAACGGCAGCACGGGUGCUUGCCCCUGGUGGCGAGUGGCGAACGGGUGAGUAAUACAUCGGAACAUGUCCUGUAGUGGGGGAUAGCCCGGCGAAAGCCGGAUUAAUACCGCAUACGAUCUACGGAUGAAAGCGGGGGACCUUCGGGCCUCGCGCUAUAGGGUUGGCCGAUAGCUGAUUAGCUAGUUGGUGGGGUAAAGGCCUACCAAGGCGACGAUCAGUAGCUGGUCUGAGAGGACGACCAGCCACACUGGGACUGAGACACGGCCCAGACUCCUACGGGAGGCAGCAGUGGGGAAUUUUGGACAAUGGGCGAAAGCCUGAUCCAGCAAUGCCGCGUGUGUGAAGAAGGCCUUCUGGUUGUAAAGCACUUUUGUCCGGAAAGAAAUCCUUGGCUCUAAUACAGUCGGGGGAUGACGGUACCGGAAGAAUAAGCACCGGCUAACUACGUG